UACGGGGGGAGCAAGCGUUGUUCGGAUUUACUGGGCGUAAAGGGCGCGUAGGCGGUCAGCACAAGUCAGUUGUGAAAUCUCCGGGCUUAACUCGGAAAGGUCAACUGAUACUGUGCGACUAGAGUGCAGAAGGGGCAACUGGAAUUCUCGGUGUAGCGGUGAAAUGCGUAGAUAUCGAGAGGAACACCUGCGGCGAAGGCGGGUUGCUGGGCUGACACUGACGCUGAUGCGCGAAAGCGUGGGGAGCAAACAGG
rnacentral:rRNA from 1 species